UUCGCAAUGCCCGAAAGGGUGACGAAGCGACGCCGCGUGGGUGAGGAAGGCCUUCGGGUUGUAAAGCCCUGUCAGGAGUUAAGAAAUGUAGGUACGCUAAUAUCGUAUCUAUUUGACAAAGGCUCCAAAGGAAGCCACGGCUAACUCUGUGCCAGCAGCCGCGGUAAUACAGAGGUGGCAAGCGUUGUUCGGAAUUAUUGGGCGUAAAGAGCACGUAGGUGGGUUUGUAAGUCAGAUGUGAAAGCCUUCUGUUCAACGGAAGAAUUGCAUCUGAAACUGUGAACCUUGAGUGUAGGAGGGGAGAAUGGAACUUCUGGUGGAGCGGUGAAAUGCGUAGAUAUCAGAAGGAACGCCGGCGGCGAAAGCGAUUCUCUGGCCUAUUACUGACACUGAGUGUGCGAAAGCUAGGGGAGCAAACGGGAUUAGAUACCCCGGUAGUCCUAGCCGUAAACGAUGGGCACUAAGUAGAGGGGUUUU
rnacentral:rRNA from 1 species